UGGGGAAUAUUGCACAAUGGGCGAAAGCCUGAUGCAGCAACGCCGCGUGAGGGAAGACGGUUUUCGGAUUGUAAACCUCUGUUUUCGGUGACGAACAGAUGACGGUAACCGAGUAGGAAGCCACGGCUAACUACGUGCCAGCAGCCGCGGUAAUACGUAGGUGGCAAGCGUUAUCCGGAAUUACUGGGUGUAAAGGGUGCGCAGGCGGCGCGCCAAGUCAGCGGUCAAAGUUCCGGGCUCAACCCGGUGUCGCCGUUGAAACUGGCGUGCUCGAGUGCGUGCGAGGAAGGCGGAAUGCGUUGUGUAGCGGUGAAAUGCAUAGAUAUGACGCAGAACUCCGAUUGCGAAGGCAGCUUUCCAGCGCGCUACUGACGCUGAGGCACGAAAGCGUGGGGAUCGAACAGGAUUAGAUACCCUGGUAGU
rnacentral:rRNA from 1 species